AGGGAAGCAGUGCUGGAAGCAAAGCGCACCCCUCUUCUCAAAGUUUGGCUUAGAACCGACUCUCAGGAGUUCGCUAGAGCUAUUAACUCGAAGAAAUAUCUGGUGGAGCUUUUUGAAGUUCUCAUGGAUAUCAAAUUUCUAUCUUUUUCUUUCAGUUUUUUCUUUGUUUCCUUUGUUGGUCGUGAGCACAAUGUGAUAGCUGACUCCCUCGCGAAAUCAGCUCUGCAUAACCUCCCUUCUAUCUUGUACUGAACUCCCGUUUACAUCUAUAAAUCUUCAUGUUGCCCCAAAAAAAAGACUAUAUGAGGUUUCAGUGACUUCAAAUUCUACUUUUAACUUUUUUUGUCUUCUCAUCUGAGCUCAACUCUAUUAUUCUUGCUUUCUUUUCUCCUCUUAGUUCAUAGUCAUACCAUAUCUUUACAAGGAACCCGUAACAAAAAAGAUGAAGGAGACUUUCAAACACCAUUACACCAGAUAGUACUAGAGGUAUAGGGAGAAAAAAAACCCAAUAUUACUAGAGGUAUAAGGAAAAAGCCCCAAUAGCUAGUGGAUAUUUCAAAUUUAAAGUCCUACAGAAAUUUAAGAUAUGGAACAUACAACGACAUAUAAAUGUUUUUGCCCAUAUUGAAACUAUUAAAAUAUGAAAGUUAGGGCCCUAAGAUUAACUAUGUGAAAUGGAGCCUAAGACAUUUGCCCCUCUUUUUUUGGUCGUCACUGGCGACUCGUGGACUAUAUUCAUGGUAAUUCAUUACAAUCUUAAUGUCCCGGAUGCUGGCAAUUGCAUAGAGUGGAGAAUCCAUCAUUGUCGUGGGUCACAAGUUGCAGCGAUGCUUUAGAGAAUUUGAUCAGCACCUCCUCCGAUUCUAUCAUCUGGUUCUCACAUAUGGAAACAUAGAAAGGAUGACUGUAGGCACUAUUUCUCCACCCAAAAAAAAAACAUGGGAUCAUUUAAAAACGAUAAGCUGGCAGUGCCAUGGUAGAAGAUUGUCUUGUUUUCUCAAUCUAUCCAUCAGCAUGCGUUUCUAUACCUCUCUGAUUUUCCUGCUUUGUCAUUCGAUUGAUCUUUUUGAUCAUUGUAGAUGAGAUAUUUUUAUCAACAUACUUUGCAUCUCAACAGAAUAAUCUUAUUAUAUAAAAUAGAGUUUGCUCUCUCCGUAGAGAGACACCUAGAAUGCCACAUAGGAAAGUCGGCUCACAUCAUGUCGACACGUGUCCCAUUUUAUCUGUGCUCUGCGUUUCAUUUAUUUGAGUUUAUUUGUUUUUGUGUGUAUGGGUUGGGAAAGUGGUGGGUUGUGGUUGAUGUAGUACAUGUCUGUAACCUGAAUAAGAAAACCCUAGACUUCUGGCUCUGGCGUUGUCUUCUCCUUCUUUGUUUUCAGAAACUUUUCAUCUUCGUUUGAAUCAUCUGUGGCAUUGAAACGCAUCCGUUUGUUUCUUCUUCAUGAUUAAUCUCCAUUACUUCAGUUACCACGAUGUAGCCUUGACUGCAUGCUUUGAUUAGGAGUCGGUGAACCUGAGCGUAUAAAUAGGCCAGCUUUCUUUCUCUUACAGUCAUCUUAUUAAUCUGUUUAAACAGGAAAACACAUUUUUCUGAGAUAUAGCUAACUCCCAAGUUUUCCUUACCGAGUUGGAGUCUGGAAGAUGUUCUUCGAAAGUUGAAGUUAGAUUGCUGCGAUUCUGGGAGUAUAGAUAUGUUAGGCGUGGUGGUGAAACUGAUCAUAUCACAGUCGAUAUGUUUUUGAUUGAUUGGAAGGGAACUCUCAUGCCAGCCACUGUGAAUGCAAGCCGUGUUCCAACCUUCCGACCUCAUCUCACGGCGGGAGCGAUAUAUUCUAUCGCCGGAUUUGAUGUGGCUCUGUUGUAAUCAAAACUUUAGGCUGUCUGACUCCUCCCUUUUGGUUCGAUUCGGUGAUGCAACCUCCUUAAGGAUGUUUCUGUGACCUUGAGUAUGUUCGACUCAACAACAGUUUCGUUUCACAAAAGACUCAAAGCCAUGCGUGGUGAUCCAAAAGGUCGUCUAUAUCUUAAUGCCACAUCAGGAACACACAUUUAUUUCGAUAAAGAGACUAAUGUAGGAGAGAGCUACUUUUACAAGUUGGUCUCCACAGACACUGGGCUUCCCUCAGCCGCUCCACUGCUGAGGGGAUAUGCUAAGGUUGAGACUCUAACCAUAUCUGAGCGUAAUGAGUUUAUAAUCACAGCUCUAACUCAGGAUAUUGAUUUCAUAUGCACUGGGAAAGUGACAAGCAGCAAGAUAGAGAAAAGGAUGAUGUUCUGUUGCUUGCUCCGUUGUACCAAAAAAACUGCAGCGCGCCGUUGUUGAUAUGGAAGGAAAAACAUUCACCUUUCAGGGAGGCGACAACAACAAUGGACCUGCAGGUGAUGACACAGUCGUUGCUAAGGUUGAAACUGGUGGAAGUAGUGAACAGUCAGCAUCAAAUACGGGAACAGCCCCGACUGGUAAUGAGCAGAAGACCCCUCCCGAGAAUGCAUCUUUGAAGAUGGUCAAGAAGGCACUCAUGGCAUAAGUUGUGAUAAUAAGAUCUAUGGACGCAGUUUUUCCCUUUUUAAAUAAUGCUAUGACAUCAGUUUUCGUGGACGAGUUU